CUCACGCCUGUAAUCCCAGCACUUUGGGAGGCUGAGGCGGGCGGAUCAUUUUAUAACUAUCUAUUAAAUGAUUAAUCCACUGGAACUCUACCUGCAAAGUGAUAGUCUUUGAAGAUGGGGACUUUGGGCUCCCGUCUUUGGACUCUGCAGCUGCAGACCAGUCCUGCAUCCUCACUGUCCCCGAUCCACACCUGCAGGGCCAGAUGGCCCAUGGCAACGAGAAUGAC
rnacentral:lncRNA from 1 species